CUGAAUUCAGUAACAAAAUUAUGUUCCCAGUAGUUAUACUUGACAUCUUUAGAGGUACAUAUAAUUAACUAGCAUUUUCCAUGCUUGAUCUCUCAGGAAGAAACCGCCUUGGACGAACCAGCCAGUUCUAGGGUGAAGCGACAAGAAUGUUGCGACUGCAUCACACUUGUCAUCAUUAUCUCUUAUGACUCAGGAAGGAGAUGCUGCCCUUGUGAUAAUCCAAUUGACGAAAUUAUAAUCAUUGACACCCGCCCCACUUCAUCGGGUCAGCAAACAAGGCGUGGUUGAUUGACAAAGUUGACGAAGGAGUUAAGGAUUGUCAGAAAGACUCUGCGCAGCGGAACAGGAUUACAAGUGAGAGUGAACGAAGGAUGAAGGUUCCUGUGCCUGAGGUGGAAACUGUUAUGUUGUGGAUGCUUCAUAUGCUAGACUAGCACUUAACUUUAUAUUGUUUAUUGUUGUUGUCGUUGUUGUUAUAAUUUUACUAGGAAUUAACAUCAUUACUAUUUAAAAGGAAAAUGGAUGACACAGAAAUAACAACUGUUAGGCCAUGAUAUCAACUGAGGUUAAGAAACAAUACUCGAUGAAUAAAAAUGAAUUCAAAAA